rnacentral:rRNA from 1 species
UACGUAGGGUGCAAGCGUUAAUCGGAAUUACUGGGCGUAAAGCGUGCGCAGGCGGCUUUGCAAGACAGAUGUGAAAUCCCCGGGCCCAACCUGGGAACUGCAUUUGUGACUGCAAGGCUGGAGUACGGUAGAGGGGGAUGGAAUUCCGCGUGUAGCAGUGAAAUGCGUAGAUAUGCGGAGGAACACCGAUGGCGAAGGCAAUCCCCUGGACCUGUACUGACGCUCAUGCACGAAAGCGUGGGGAGCAAACGGG